rnacentral:rRNA from 1 species
AGCGAACGCUGGCGGCAGGCCUAACACAUGCAAGUCGAACGAACCCUUCGGGGUUAGUGGCGGACGGGUGAGUAACACGUGGGAACGUGCCUUUAGGUUCGGAAUACCUCAGGGAAACUUGUGCUAAUACCGAAUGUGCCCUUCGGGGGAAAGAUUUAUCGCCUUUAGAGCGGCCCGCGUCUGAUUAGGUAGUUGGUGGGGUAAUGGCCCACCAAGGCUACGGUCCGUAGCUGGUCUGAGAGGAUGACCAGCCACAUUGGGACUGAGACACGGCCCAAACUCCUACGGGAGGCAGCAUUGGGGAAUCGUGCGCAAUGGGCGAAAGCCUGACGCAGCCAUGCCGCGUGGAUGAUGAAGGUCUUAGGAUUGUAAAAUCCUUUCACCGGUGAAGAUAAUGGCUGUAGCCGGAGAAGAAGCCCCGGCUAACUUCGUGCCAGCAGCCGCAGUAACAC